GUGACCUCAAAUCAGGUAGGACUACCCGCUGAACUUAAGCAUAUCAAUAAGCGGAGGAAAAGAAACUAACAAGAUUCCCCUAGUAACUGCGAGUGAAGCGGGAAAAGCUCAAAUUUAAAAUCUGGCAGUCUUUGGCUGUCCGAGUUGUAAUCUAGAGAAGUAUUAUCCGCGCUGGACCGUGUACAAGUCUCCUGGAAUGGAGCGUCAUAGAGGGUGAGAAUCCCGUCUUUG
rnacentral:rRNA from 1 species